CUGCAGUGUCAUGCAGGCCACCAGGGAAAUGGAUGAAAGCUGGCAGUUAUAGGCCUCACUCAGCCCAAAAGGCUGGUUUCACUUUCACUGUGCUCCCUCAACAGCACCAAGUUUAUUUCCAGGCAGUGGGUGAGCAGGGCUGAAAAGCUGCCCCAGGCUACCAGCCUCCCAGCUGAGAAAGCAAGCAGGGCGUUUAGAUUUCAUCUCUCCCCACCUGCCAUGGCUUCUGUGCUGUGAUUGCACUCCUGAUUCAACCCGUCCCCUGAUUUCUGUCCGGGAAACUUUGCAUUCGGUCAAAAUUGUUACAAAGUUCAGCUGGAAGUUUCCUUCCCUGUGUGGUUUCUUCCCGGUUCCUCUGGCAGCCCUCCCCAAGGACUUCUGUAAGACAAAGUCGGAAAUGACUUCCUUGGGGACUGAGAGCCCACAGGGAUCUUCCCAUUGCUUCUUCUACCAGUGUAUUUCACUCAGCUCUCUAAAUUUGUCUCAGCUCCAGGAAGGCAGGGAUUUCAACCUGGGCAACAAGUCCACAGAACAUGAGAUUUCUGAAGGUGUGUGGGAUACAUCAUGGUUACAUAAAAAUCCUUUCACUAUAGUUCCUACUUCCCUAUCUUCAAAAUGAUUCCCCGAAAACUUCCACCAUGAAGGUCUAAAGCCUAACCUCUGAACUGUGGAUGGAAAAUUGAACUCCUUGAUGUGACCUCUGCACAUCAUGCAACCCUAAACCUAAAUAUUCUCUGUGUAGGAGCCCCAUUAUGUUCCUUUUUAGUCUAAUACUUUUUAAGUCAUCUUAAAAAAUUAUAUUUUGUUUUCUUUUA